rnacentral:rRNA from 1 species
CAGCAGCCGCGGGAAUACGUAGGGGGAGAGCGUUGUCCGAAGUUACUGGGCGUAAAGAGCGCGUAGGCUGGUCUUUAAGUGAGUGGUGAAAGGUUCGGGCUCAACCCGGACACUGCCUUUCAUACUGGGGACCUUGAGUGUGGGAAAGGCGAGUGGAAUGGUCGGUGUAGCGGUGAAAUGCGUAGAUAUCGAUCGGAACACCCAUGGCGAAGGCAGCUCGCUGGCCUAACACUGACGCUGAGGCGCGAAAGCGUGGGGAGCAAACAGGAUUAGAUACCCCGGUAGUCCCUGUCUCUUAUAC